UACGGGGGGGGCAAGCGUUGUUCGGAAUUACUGGGCGUAAAGGGUGCGUAGGCGGCUUUUUAAGUCGGAUGUGAAAACUCUGGGCUCAACCCAGAGACUGCAUCCGAAACUGGAGAGCUAGGGUUCUGGAGGGGAAAGCGGAAUUCCUGGUGUAGCAGUGAAAUGCGUAGAUAUCUGGAGGAACACCGGUGGCGAAGGCGGCAUCCUGGACCAAUAUUGACGCUGAGGAGCGAAAGCCAGGGGAGCAAAGCGGG
rnacentral:rRNA from 1 species